GACGAACGCUGGCGGCGUGCUUAAUACAUGCAAGUCGAACGGAAAGGCCCUGCGCUUGCGGGGUGCUCGAGAGGCGAGGGGGUGAGUAACACGCGAGUAACAUGCCCUUAACUUUGGGAUAAAUUUACGAAACUCCGGCUAAUACACUAUAGGAGAUACUGCAGCGCGGUGGGGGUUAGAAAGUUUCGGCGGUGGGGGCAGGAUUGGAGGCUUAUCAGCUUGUUAGUGGAGUAGUGGCUUACCAAGGCUUUGACGGGUAGCAGGCGUGAGAGGUUGACCAGCGACAUUAGGCCUGAGAUACGGCGCAGUAUCCAACGGGCGGCAGCAGGGGGGAACAUUGCACAAUGGGCGGGAGCCAGAUGCAGCGACGCACCGUGCGGGAUGACGGCCUUCGGGUUAAGAACCACUUUCGCAGGUAAUAAAGCGUGAGUGACGGUAAUGGGUAAGGAAGCACCGGCUAACUACGUG
rnacentral:rRNA from 1 species